rnacentral:rRNA from 1 species
UACGUAGGGUGCAAGCGUUAAUCGGAAUUACUGGGCGUAAAGCGUGCGCAGGCGGUUUUGUAAGUCUGACGUGAAAUCCCCGGGCUUAACCUGGGAAUUGCGUUGGAGACUGCAAGGCUGGAGUCUGGCAGAGGGGGGUAGAAUUCCACGUGUAGCAGUGAAAUGCGUAGAGAUGUGGAGGAACACCGAUGGCGAAGGCAGCCCCCAGGGUCAAGACUGACGCUCAUGCACGAAAGCGUGGGGAGCAAAC